AGUUGCGUUAGCGCCUUUCUCGAGGUAGCAUGUACUAUUAUUUUUCAAAGUCUUUACUAAAACCAGUGGAAAAUGGUCUUUGUAACGUUUACUUUGGCAGUUGUGGCUUUUUGUACGAUCUACUACUAUUUCAAAAAUACUCGUGAUUACUUUAAGAAGAAGAACAUUCCUUACUACCCGGCAUGGCCUCUGCUGGGCAACAUGGCCGAACCGUUGUUACGGCGUAAACACGUCUCCCAACUGGUUAAGGACAUGUACAACCACAAUCCUGAUGCCAAGUACAUUGGUGGCUUCGAUUUCACCAAACCGGUCAUCAUGCUGAGGGACCUUGAACUUAUCAAGAGUAUUACGAUCAAGAACUUCGACAGCUUUUCAGACCACAAGGCCAUAUUCGACGAGACCAUGGACCCACUGUUUGGCGGGAACCUCUUCAAUUUGACUGGUGAAAGAUGGAAGGAAGUAAGGAAUCUCGUGAGUCCUGACUUCACCUCCACUAAGAUGAAAGCUAUGUUCGAAUUGAUAGUCCAGUGUGCGAAGGACUUUGUUGGAUACCUCGAGGAACGACCUGUCGAGGACAACAAGAUGAUCGACGAAAUAAUAGUCAAAUACAAAGGCAUGCCGACGUACGAGGCCAUCCACGGAAUGGAUUAUCUCGAUGCCGUCUACAAUGAGUCAAAGAGGAUUCACGUACAGGUCACCUUCAUCGACCGGCUCUGCAUUAAGACCUUCGAACUACCACCAGCUUUACCUGGUAUUACGACGAUCCGGAGACGUUUAAUCCAGAGAGAUACUACAAGAAGAAGGUGUCCAUCGACGACGUGACCAAUUUGGGAUUUGGUAUUGGACCGAGAAGUUGCAUUGGAAGUCGUUUCGCUAUUAUGGAGACCAAAGUUUUGUUCUUUUUCCUACUCUCGAAAUUCAAUCUGGUUGCUAACGAAAAGACGGCCAAGCCGUUCGUGUACAGCAAGCACUCGAUCUCUGUCGUAGCAGAAGGUGGAUAUUGGCUCGAAAUUGAGAAGCGAAAUUGAAUAUGCUUAUUAUAUAAAAUGUAAUGUAACUGUUUAUGAAACGAUUAAAAGAAAAAUGAAAUAAAAUUGAUGCUUUUAAAAA